rnacentral:rRNA from 1 species
UUUAGAGGUGAAGUUAGGAAGGGCGCACGGUGGAUGCCUUGGCACUAGGAGCCGAUGAAGGACGGAACGAACACCGAUAUGCUCCGGGGAGCUGUAAGUGAGCUUAGAUCCGGAGAUUUCCGAAUGGGGAAACCCACUGCCCGUAAUGGGGCAGUACGGCUGCGUGAAUCCAUAGCGCAGUCGGGGCACACCCGGGGAACUGAAACAUCUUAGUACCCGGAGGAAGAGAAAGAAAAUUCGAUUCCCCAAGUAGCGGCGAGCGAAACGGGAUUAGCCCAAACCAGGAAGCUUGCUUCCUGGGGUUGUAGGACACUCCUUUGGAGUUACAAAGGGAUGCGUGAGGUGAAGCGGCCUGGAAAGGCCCGCCAGAGAGGGUAACAGCCCCGUAACCGAAGCCCAUCCCCUCCGGAGUGGAUCCUGAGUACGGCGGAACACGUGAAAUUCCGUCGGAAUCCGGGAGGACCAUCUCCCAAGGCUAAAUACUCCCUAGUGACCGAUAGUGAACCAGUACCGUGAGGGAAAGGUGAAAAGCACCCCGGAAGGGGAGUGAAACAGAUCCUGAAACCGUGUGCCUACAAGUAGUCAGAGCCCGUUAAUGGGUGAUGGCGUGCCUUUUGUAGAAUGAACCGGCGAGUUACGGUUCCAUGCAAGGUUAAGCCGAGAAGGCGGAGCCGCAGCGAAAGCGAGUCUGAAUAGGGCGACACAGUAUGGGGCCGUAGACCCGAAACCAGGUGAUCUACCCAUGUCCAGGGUGAAGGUAAGGUAACACUUACUGGAGGCCCGAACCCACGUAUGUUGAAAAAUGCGGGGAUGAGGUGUGGGUAGCGGUGAAAUUCCAAUCGAACCUGGAGAUAGCUGGUUCUCUCCGAAAUAGCUUUAGGGCUAGCCUCAGGCUAGAGAAUCCCGGAGGUAGAGCACUGUUUGGAUGAGGGGCCCAUCCCGGGUUACCGAGUUCAGACAAACUCCGAAUGCCGGUGAUUUAUGCCUGGGAGUCAGACUGCGAGUGAUAAGAUCCGUAGUCGAGAGGGAAACAGCCCAGACCACCGGUUAAGGUCCCCAAGUGUCUGUUAAGUGGAAAAGGAUGUGGCGCUGCCCAGACAACCAGGAUGUUGGCUUAGAAGCAGCCAUCAUUUAAAGAGUGCGUAAUAGCUCACUGGUCGAGUGGCGCUGCGCCGAAAAUGUACCGGGGCUAAACAGACCACCGAAACCGUGGAUUGACACCGUUGGUGUCAGUGGUAGGAGAGCGUUCCAAGGGCGUCGAAGCCAGACCGGAAGGACUGGUGGAGCGCUUGGAAGUGAGAAUGCCGGUAUGAGUAGCGAAAGACGGGUGAGAAUCCCGUCCACCGAAUGCCUAAGGUUUCCUGAGGAAGGUUCGUCCGCUCAGGGUCAGUCGGGACCUAAGUCGAGGCCGAAAGGCGUAGACGAUGGACAACAGGUUGAUAUUCCUGUACCGCCUCCCCGCCGUUUGAGUGAUGGGGUGACGCAGUAGGAUAGGGUGAGCGCGCUGUUGGUUGCGCGUCCAAGCAGUGAGGCGGGGAGUGAGGAAAAUCCCACUCCCGUAACGCUGGGCUGUGAUGGCAAGGGGUCUGACCCCGGAGUCCCUGAUUUCACACUGCCAAGAAAAGCCUCUAACGAGGCGGGAGGCGCCCGUACCGCAAACCGACACAGGUAGGCGAGGAGAGAAUCCUAAGGUGAUCGAGAGAACUCUCGUUAAGGAACUCGGCAAAAUGACCCCGUAACUUCGGGAGAAGGGGUGCUCUAUUAGGGUGUUAAAGCCCGAGAGAGCCGCAGUGAAUAGGCCCAGGCGACUGUUUAGCAAAAACACAGGUCUCUGCAAAACCGCAAGGUGAAGUAUAGGGGCUGACGCCUGCCCGGUGCUGGAAGGUUAAGAGGAGAGGUUAGCGCAAGCGAAGCUUUGAAUUGAAGCCCCAGUAAACGGCGGCCGUAACUAUAACGGUCCUAAGGUAGCGAAAUUCCUUGUCGGGUAAGUUCCGACCCGCACGAAAGGCGUAACGAUCUGGGCACUGUCUCAACGAGAGACUCGGUGAAAUUAUAGUACCUGUGAAGAUGCAGGUUACCCGCGACAGGACGGAAAGACCCCGUGGAGCUUUACUGCAGCCUGAUAUUGAAUUCCGGUGCAGCCUGUACAGGAUAGGUAGGAGCCGUGGAAACCGGAGCGCCAGCUUCGGUGGAGGCACUGGUGGGAUACUACCCUGGCUGUAUUGGACUUCUAACCCGUGCCCGUGAUCCGGGCAGGGGACCGUGUCAGGCGGGCAGUUUGACUGGGGCGGUCGCCUCCUAAAGAGUAACGGAGGCGCCCAAAGGUUCCCUCAGAAUGGUUGGAAAUCAUUCGCAGAGUGCAAAGGCAGAAGGGAGCUUGACUGCGAGACCUACAAGUCGAGCAGGGUCGAAAGACGGGCUUAGUGAUCCGGUGGUUCCGCAUGGAAGGGCCAUCGCUCAACGGAUAAAAGCUACCCCGGGGAUAACAGGCUUAUCUCCCCCAAGAGUUCACAUCGACGGGGAGGUUUGGCACCUCGAUGUCGGCUCAUCGCAUCCUGGGGCUGUAGUCGGUCCCAAGGGUUGGGCUGUUCGCCCAUUAAAGCGGUACGCGAGCUGGGUUCAGAACGUCGUGAGACAGUUCGGUCCCUAUCCGUCGCGGGCGCAGGAAAUUUGAGAGGAGCUGUCCUUAGUACGAGAGGACCGGGAUGGACACACCGCUGGUGUACCAGUUGUCCUGCCAAGGGCAUCGCUGGGUAGCUAUGUGUGGACGGGAUAAGUGCUGAAAGCAUCUAAGCACGAAGCCCCCCUCAAGAUGAGAUUUCCCAUAGCGCAAGCUAGUAAGAUCCCUCGAAGAUGACGAGGUGGAUAGGUCCGGGGUGGAAGUGUGGCGACACAUGGAGCUGACGGAUACUAAUCGAUCGAGGACUUCUCCUC